rnacentral:rRNA from 1 species
UACGAAGGGGGCUAGCGUUGCUCGGAAUGACUGGGCGUAAAGGGCGCGUAGGCGGAUGUCACAGUCAGAUGUGAAAUUCCUGGGCUCAACCUGGGGGCUGCAUUUGAUACGUGUGGACUAGAGUGGGGAAGAGGGUCGUGGAAUUCCCAGUGUAGAGGUGAAAUUCGUAGAUAUACGGAGGAAUACCGGUGGCGAAGGCGGCCGCCUGGACCAUUUCUGACACUGAGACGCGAAAGCGUGGGGAGCAAACAGG